GACGAACGCUGGCGGCGUGCUUAACACAUGCAAGUCGAACGGUGAAGCGCUUUCCUUUUUGGUUGGUGUGGAUGAGUGGCGAACGGGUGAGUAACACGUGAGUAACCUGCCCCCUUCUUCUGGAUAACCGCAUGAAAGUGUGGCUAAUACGGGAUAUUCUGCGCCUGCUGCAUGGUGGGUGUGGGAAAGAUUGUGCCUUUGGGUGUUUUCGGUGGGGGAUGGGCUCGCGGCCUAUCAGCUUGUUGGUGGGGUGAUGGCCUACCAAGGCGGUGACGGGUAGCCGGGCUGAGAGGGUGGACGGUCACACUGGGACUGAGACACGGCCCAGACUCCUACGGGAGGCAGCAGUGGGGAAUAUUGCACAAUGGGCGCAAGCCUGAUGCAGCGACGCCGCGUGAGGGAUGGAGGCCUUCGGGUUGUGAACCUCUUUCGCCAGUGAAGCAGGCCUGCUCCGUGUGGGUGGGUUGACGGUAGCUGGAUAAGAAGCGCCGGCUAACUACGUG
rnacentral:rRNA from 1 species